GGUAAACAGAAAUCGGACAACAUGCCCCAGAUUACAAAUAUGCGUCAGCCACGUUGGCUUCUAGGGCAUACUUCAAACAGCUUCCACCAGUCCACUCUACUAUGACGCGGGCGCAACGACUCCCAAACACCACGAACAGAGAAGAAACCCUUCGGAGCAUCAAUCCACUGCAAGACAUCCGACCUUCUGCUAUCUGGCCAGAAUGAAGUAGGAGUACUACUAAUGAGCUCAAGCCAUAUAGGGGAGCGAGAGAUAGGCCAUGCCACUCUUGGCCGUCAAUAAUAGCCUCCACCUUGGCAUUCUACCCAAGACCAGAAGCAUAGAUAAACCUUUCCCCAAACAC
rnacentral:lncRNA from 1 species